GCAAAUCCAGCUUGAAAUGCAUACAAUUGGUCUCCCUUUUUAUUGUAGCAUUGGCUGUUUACUCCUGGAGUCUGAGAAACUGAGUGCUAUCCUGCCACAGGAAGCCGGGUCCUCGAACUAUGAACUGGGAAUUGGAAAACUUUGGUUCUAACCCUACCUUUGCCACUUACCAGCCUUUUAGGGUUGACCACAGGGAUA